rnacentral:rRNA from 1 species
GUGAGGAAUAUUGGUCAAUGGGCGCUAGCCUGAACCAGCCAAGUAGCGUGAAGGAUGACUGCCCUAUGGGUUGUAAACUUCUUUUAUAUGGGAAUAAAGUGCAGUAUGUAUACUGCUUUGCAUGUACCUUAUGAAUAAGGAUCGGCUAACUCCGUGCCAGCAGCCGCGGUAAUACGGAGGAUCCGAGCGUUAUCCGGAUUUAUUGGGUUUAAAGGGAGCGUAGGCGGGUUGUUAAGUCAGUUGUGAAAGUUUGCGGCUCAACCGUAAAAUUGCAGUUGAUACUGGCAUCCUUGAGUACAGUAGAGGUAGGCGGAAUUCGUGGUGUAGCGGUGAAAUGCUUAGAUAUCACGAAGAACUCCGAUUGCGAAGGCAGCCUGCUGGACUGUAACUGACGCUGAUGCUCGAAAGUGUGGGUAUCAAACAGGAUUAGAAACCCUAGUAGUCC